AUAACAAGUAGGACGUAAUAAUUGCUUGAUUGAAAAGACAGAGCCAAAUUUUUGACAAGAAGAGACAGAGACAGGCAGGGGGGAGAGUUUGGCUGAUGCUUGGAAGGAGCAGGGGGGGGAGGAUUUAUAUGUAGAAGAGGGAUGGGAUGGGAGAGAAACAAGGGAAGAACCAGUAGACUCGAUCGAUGAGACAAGAGAGAGGUGGUGCGGUGGGAUUUGACCAAGUAGGUAAGGGAAAGACAGGUGGUUACAGACAGGGGCUGGAUUUGGUAGGUAGCUCCCCUUCAACGUCAGAUUUGGUCUCUUUUAGGUUUCGUUGUAGCAAGAAGAGCUCCUCGCUCUUUCCUCCCUUUCAAAUCGAGUUGUUUGCACAAUUCAAACUCAAAACGCUUCUACACACACUAUGCUAUGAUUUA